rnacentral:rRNA from 1 species
AGCAGCCGCGGUAAUUCCAGCUCCAAUAGCGUAUAUUAAAGUUGUUGCAGUUAAAAAGCUCGUAGUUGAAUUUCGAGAUCAGUACGCUGGUCGUGCCUUCGGUAUGCACUGGUGUCACUGGUUUCUCCCUUCUGAAGAACCGUCAUGUCAUUAAGUUGGUGUGGCGGGGAAUCAGGACUGUUACUUUGAAAAAUUAGAGUGUUUAAAGCAGGCUCGCGCUUGAAUACAUUAGCAUGGAAUAAUGAAAUAGGACGUUUGACCCUAUUUUGUUGGUUUCUAGGAUCGACGUAAUGAUUAAUAGGGAUAGUUGGGGGCAUUAGUAUUCAAUUGUCAGAGGUGAAAUUCUUGGAUUUAUUGAAGACUAACUACUGCGAAAGCAUUUGCCAAGGAUGUUUUCA